GGAAAACUCACCUGGCCCGGACACCGUGAGGAUUGACAGAUUGAGAGCUCUUUCUUGAUUCGGUGGGUGGUGGUGCAUGGCCGUUCUUAGUUGGUGGAGUGAUUUGUCUGGUUUAUUCCGAUAACGAGCGAGACUCUAGCCUACUAAAUAGUCACUGGAUAAAUGUGUCCAGAAGACUUCUUAGAGGGACAAGCGGUGCUUAGCCGCAUGAAGUUGAGCAAUAA
rnacentral:rRNA from 1 species